GCCCAAGAGGCGUUGCUACGGCUGCACUUGUAAGUGUUGCAUGCAGUACAUCGUGCAUAUGUGCAUUAUUCUUUGUUGUUUUUUUUAAAGCAUGUUUUUGACAAUUUGUUCAGCUUUAAAUGGUUUAAUCUUGUGUCAUUUCUUGAUGUAGC
rnacentral:SRP_RNA from 1 species